GAAAUGCGAUAAGUAAUGUGAAUUGCAGAAUUCAGUGAAUCAUCGAAUCUUUGAACGCACAUUGCGCCCGCCAGUAUUCUGGCGGGCAUGCCUGUUCGAGCGUCAUUUCAACCAUCAAGCCCUAGGCUUGUGUUGGGGCCCUGCGGCUGUCCGCAGCCCCCCUAAAUACAGUGGCGGGCUCGCUAUCACACCGAGUGCAGUAGAUUUCUUUUCUCGCUCAGGGCGUGUGGCGGGUGCUAGCCGUAAAACCCCCUCAUUCAUAAGGUUGACCUCGGAUCAGGUAGGAAUACCCGCUGAACUUAA
rnacentral:misc_RNA from 1 species